rnacentral:rRNA from 1 species
CAGUCGCCGCGGGAAUACGAAGGGGGCUAGCGUUGCUCGGAAUGACUGGGCGUAAAGGGCGCGUAGGCGGCGAUCAAAGUCAGGCGUGAAAUUCCUGGGCUCAACCUGGGGGCUGCGCUUGAUACUGGGUUGCUUGAGUGGGGAAGAGGGUCGUGGAAUUCCCAGUGUAGAGGUGAAAUUCGUAGAUAUUGGGAAGAACACCGGUGGCGAAGGCGGCGACCUGGUCCUUGACUGACGCUGAGGCGCGAAAGCGUGGGGAGCAAACAGGAUUAGAUACCCCUGUAGUCCCUGUCUCUUAUAC